GUAUGCUGAAGGUGUCAUCUCUUGAGAAGAUGCCAUGGGUUUCAAGUCGAAGAUUCCAUUACAAAUGUCAAAGAAAAUGAGGAAAUCUGGAGCACACAACAAUCGGAACAAUCUGAAUCUCAACCUCGUACCUGGGUACGAAGUUGUCGGAAUCUAAUACCCUGUUCGGGAAAGCUUUUGUGCGACUAAAGCAUCAAGCUAGAUGGUAAAAGCUUGCCUAUACUACUUGUGGAGAACGUUAAGCGGAUAAUGUCGACUGGGAAGAUGGAUUGCAGAAAUUGAGGCGAACGUUUUCGAUUGGCGAGAGAUAAGGCAUGCUAAACCUUUUAACAUUUUUUUUCGAGGUAUAUUCAUAGUCUUUAACAACUAUCAACUAUUUAGUACAUAAUCACUAAUAAAUUAAGAGCCAGCGCUGAGUCUCCCCUUGACAAGUAAAAUCAUCUGGCGUUAGGGGUCACGUCCAUAUUCAUGUUGCCACGCAUAACGUUGAAUCGACGUUAACACUCAAACCCACCCACCCACCCUAAAUAGCGUCGAGCGUGGCAGUCACAUUCUUCAAAACUUUAACAAAAUUGUCAUUUUGCCACGAGAUUAUCGAGAUAAUUGAGAUAAACCCACCCACCCACUCAUAACGUUGAUUCGACGUUAUGCGUGGCAAUAUGAAUAUGGACGUGACCCCUUAGACAAAGUGAAUAUACUAAAGUAGGGUGUAAAAAAAAAAUAAUCUGUUGUUCCGGUUCCCGACUGAGCCUAUUUUUUUUCUGCCGACCCUAUUAUUUUUUCAACGCGAUUGACCGUGCGACCCUAUUUUCUGCGGGUGGUUGCGGGUUGCUGCCAAAAUGGCGUCUGUUGUCACACUAAUUAUUGAAAAAACCAUGAAAAAAAAUAAUAUUCCAAAAAAAAUUAUUUCCGACCUACCGACCCUAAUUUUUUCGAGAUAUGAAACCGGAACCACAGGUAUUUUUUUUUACGCUAGGAUGAUGCAUCAGCUGGGUGCAAUGCAACUCGAUGGGUUAAUCAUCAGAUUUUUAAUUCUUUUGGCGGACAUAUGAUAUUGUCCUGUAAUCAGUGCCAUGUAUGCAUGCAUGUACAUGUGUUAUCUGCAUAUGUGUUCGGCCCAUUUAAAACAUUUUCCAACGUUAGAUUUAACAUUUUCAUUUCAUGCAUUUUGAUGAAUCUUGCAUGGACUAACUUAAGAUAUGUCUUUGCUGAAACUUCGAUAUAGUAUUAAUUUUCAAUAUUAUUAACAACAAUUUCAUAAUUCAAGGUGAAUGCAUGGUUGUGAAUCAAUGGCUAUAAAUUUGCUCAAGGGUAGUCUACAAGAGGAAUCCAAUGUGGAUUGAAGAGAGGCA